UACGGAGGAUCCAAGCGUUACUCGGAAUCACUGGGCGUAAAGAGCAUGUAGGCUGGUAGAAAAGUUAGAAGUGAAAUCCUAUGGCUUAACCAUAGAACUGCUUCUAAAACUCUUUACCUAGAAUAUGGGAGAGGUAGAUGGAAUUUCUGGUGUAGGGGUAAAAUCCGUAGAGAUCAGAAGGAAUACCGAUUGCGAAGGCGAUCUACUGGAACAUUAUUGACGCUGAGAUGCGAAAGCGUGGGGAGCAAACAGG
rnacentral:rRNA from 1 species